CCGAUCAGGGGCACCGAUCAGGUUCGCCCCCGCACAACCCUCCUGGCAGGGGGAAAUUUCUGCCUGUGGAAACCAAUUUGAAACGCUUUUGGUAGACUCACAGUUAAUGGAUGCAAUAUUCUCAUUUCCAAGAUUGAUCACACCAUGUAUUGCCAUGGUUUCGAUAAAUUGUACCACACUACAUUGUCAUGCGUGCAGAACAUCAACGUGGCAUGAGAUAAGUGGAAAUAUCAAGUCCAUUCCUCUUGAUGGUUCUUAAGAGAGUGAGCUAAUCUAAGACAAGGUAGCAUAGGGAUGCUAUAAUACAUCUCAAAAAUCCUAAACUACCAAUUUCUGGAAGUGCUGCUUUGUGAACAGGACAGGAUUGGAUUCGGUUGAGAAGCUAUCCUUUAUUUUCUGCCACUUUUCCCAUUAGCCCUCAUCUGAAAGCAUCGACAUCGUGCUAGUGAACGAUUCCAUAGUCACAAGGCCAGUAUCUCAAAGAGAUUUUUCAGCAACCGCAGCAUAUGCCAAACCAGGCCAAACACAUUCUGGGAUUAACUUGGAUUCAAUGGUCCACCUAAUUUAAUUCCUUCUAGAUGCUGCCACCUUGUUUCGUUUAUAUUCACUUUUGAUCCCAUUCUACACUGCCAUCUUCAUCACUUGGCUUUGCUAAGAAGCAAUCCUGUCAGGAACCAAUCCUCCAACAUUCAUCUUCAAAAGCAGAAUUCUUGGUCUUGUCUCAAUAUAUCAACAUUCGAAGACAUAAAGCGUGAACUUCAUACACAAUUCAAAACAGCAUAUUCUUCUAUGAAAUUAUAUCCUGUCUUGCACCAUAUAUUCCAAAUAAGAAUGUGACAAUGGGAAGAAAGAAAAAAAAAACAAUUAAAAGGACAACCUGAAGACAACAAUUAUGCAUCAAGUUGAAUUAUUCUCAGUUACACAUUAAUAGUACAGGAAUCUACAAAUCAAAAUAAGCAAAACAAGCAGUUACCAAUAAUUUAGUAAAUCGUACAAUUCACUGCUAUAAGUUAACAAUUCUCCCUGUUUAUAUCAAUAUGAACUGAAGUCAUGUGUUCUAAGAAUCGUGGUUGUAGAAAAAUAGAGGCUCAAUGUAUUGAACGUAAACCAAUGUGUAGCUGAACUAGAACAGUAGCCAUAUAAAUAUUGAGAAUUGUUUUAAAGAUUAAUUAUUUCAAAAUUACCUGCUGCAGAGUACAAUUCACAACCUGCCUUUUUGCCAUAUUUCCAUUUUUGCAGGUAGCCCUAUGAAUCAAGGUCUAAAUUGUAGCUACAUUUCUGCAGUAUAUUUUAGGUUUGGCGCAGCUUACUGCAAGUAACUUGAGCAGGAAUAAAGCAAACCCCAAAGUAUUAUGCAAAAUCUGACAUUUAAUUUUUUAAGUGUUAAUAAUGAAAUGUGCAUUUAAGGUGUAUAAUCUUGAAUUACAAAAGAAAUGAAAUUACUCUGCUGUUACUUAAACUGCGGAUACAAACUUCAGCACCUCUACAAUACAUCAAAAUUUGGGUAAAUUUUAAUAUGAAAGUCAAUGUUUAAACUUGGGUUCAUAUAAAUAAAUUGCAAGCAAUAAAUUUUACAUUGUAUAAACCUGCAGAAUGAAAAAUUCUAAAUUUUCUACUACUAAUACCAAAUAAAUUUGCUAUAUCAAAAUUUAUUUCAGCAGUUUAGUGCAAAGUAUACGUUUUACAGGAACAAAUCGAUGUAUAAAAUAGUUGCUAUAUUUGCCUAUGUGAUAACUACAGCAAUUCAACAUAACUCAUCGUACAUGAGGCUCAGAUUUUUGGGAUAAAAAAGGCACAAAUAAAAUCUAAGUCUUCCUUUUCAUUAAAGCAUUAGUGUACAGGCUGCUUACCUGUAUAAAACACACAUGAUUUGAUAAAUAAAGAUGGAAAAUUUAA